ensembl:lncRNA
AAAACUUCAAGUCCCAGGAUGCUGUGCGGCGGCGUCACUCUCACUGUCCCCGCCUACAGCGCACGCUCGCAGGCGGAGAACGGGCAGAACGGGUCGGCUCCGUGUUUACGUUGAGAUGCUCACAACAAAGGACAGCGCACCGCGGAGAGGCUGUCAUUUAAAAUAAAGAGAAAGCACCGUGGAUAUUUUCUCUUACGGUGAGCGUCUGCAAUUCACGACUCCUGGAAGGGGAGAGCAAAUACCAAAAAACCCUAAUCUGCUUCCAUUUUAUUUAUUUUUCCUACGUGAUACGCUUUAUUAUUUUUUUUAUUAUUAUUUUAUUUUUUUAAGCAGCUAAGACGCGGAGAAAUUAGGACGAAAUCUUCUGCCGUUUUUUCCAUGUUUUUGUUUUUUUCCUUCUGAGCCGGUGGGACGAUAGCUAGCUCCUUAGCCUCUGCAAGUUGGUUGGAAGGCUAAGCAGCUGAGACCGACCGCAGGCUCGGGACAAUAAGAGGACCUCAUCAUUUAUAUCGCACUGGUGUAGAUCUCACCACUUCCCUUCCCCUUUCUGGAAAUGUCACAGAGAAGAGGGACGUGCAUUAACACCAUCUGCCCCUGAUCUUACUUCCAUUGUCUGCCUUUUAUUGUGAACUCUAAUGAGGAAAUGUUGGCAAGUUGUAGCAGCCAGUGCAUUUAAUUUUGUCACUGAACCAACCCCACAGCUUUUUAAAAUUUGUUUCAGAAUAGGAAAUUCAAAUAAUUAUAAACUGUAUAGUUCUAUCACAUUUUUAUUUAAUUUAAGCUUAAAAAGAAAGCAGGAAAGUAGGCUUUCAAAGAGUUCUAGCUACAGAUGCAUGGUGCGAAAAGUGUUGCGUAUAUAACGUGCUCUGUUGCAAUCAGUUUUCUGCAAACAUAUAAGUUGUGCACAGUGUUAUUGGGAAAUAUGGGUUUGUAUCAGUGACCAAACACGUCUAGAUCUGGUGUCUAGAAUCAGACCCUGUAUUAUGAAGAAGAUUUAAACAGUUCUCAGAAUAUGUCUUCAUAUUGUA